rnacentral:rRNA from 1 species
AUUGAACGCUGGCGGCAGGCCUAACACAUGCAAGUCGAGCGAGCGGCGGACGGGUGAGUAAUGUAUGGGAACUGCCCGAUAGCGGGGGAUAACUACUGGAAACGGUAGCUAAUACCGCAUCCUAUCGGAUAACCCAUAUGGGAUUAGCUAGUAGGUGAGGUAAUGGCCCACCUAGGCGACUAUCCCUAGCUGGUCUGAGAGGAUGAUCGGCCACAGUGGGACUGAGACACGGCCCAGACUCCUACGGAGUAAGAAGGGGGUAAUAUUGCGCAAUGGGGGAAACCCUGAGCCAGCCAUCCCGCGUGUAUGAUGAAGGCCUUCUGGUUGUAAAGUACUUUUGGCAGAGAAGCGGUAUCUGCAGAGGAAGCGCCGGCUAACUACGUGCCAGCCGCCGCGGUAAUAC